CCCUUAGAUGUUCUGGGCUGCACACGUGCUACACUGGCAGGUUCAGCGAGCUUCAUGCCCUGAUCUGAAAGGAAUUGGAAAUCUUUUCAAAACCUGCCGUGCUUGGGAUAGAUGUUUGCAAUUAUUCAUCUUCAACGAGGAUUGCCUUGUAAGCGCACGUCAUCAGCGUGCAUUGAAUACGACCCUGUAUUCUGUACACACCGCCCGUCGCUCCUACCGAUUGAAGUUUUCGGUGAGUUGACAGGAGGAUUUUUUUGAAACUGGUUCGCCAGUGGAUUUUAGAUCCAAAUGCCAACGAAUCGAUGGCUUUAGAGGAAGGAGAAGUCGUAACA
rnacentral:rRNA from 1 species